rnacentral:rRNA from 1 species
AACGAACGCUGGCGGCAUGCCUAACACAUGCAAGUCGAACGAACCCUUCGGGGUUAGUGGCGCACGGGUGCGUAACGCGUGGGAAUCUGCCCUGGGGUGCGGAAUAACUCAGAGAAAUUUGAGCUAAUACCGCAUAAUGUCUUCGGACCAAAGAUUUAUCGCCCUGGGAUGAGCCCGCGUUGGAUUAGCUAGUUGGUGGGGUAAUGGCCCACCAAGGCGACGAUCCAUAGCUGGUCUGAGAGGAUGAUCAGCCACACUGGGACUGAGACACGGCCCAGACUCCUACGGGAGGCAGCAGUGGGGAAUAUUGGACAAUGGGCGAAAGCCUGAUCCAGCAAUGCCGCGUGAGUGAUGAAGGCCCUAGGGUUGUAAAGCUCUUUUACCAGGGAUGAUAAUGACAGUACCUGGAGAAUAAGCUCCGGCUAACUCCGUGCCAGCAGCCGCGGUAAUACGGAGGGAGCUAGCGUUGUUCGGAAUUACUGGGCGUAAAGCGCGCGUAGGCGGUCCAUCAAGUCAGAGGUGAAAGCCCGGGGCUCAACCCCGGAACUGCCUUUGAAACUGGCGGACUAGAAUCUUGGAGAGACGAGUGGAAUUCCGAGUGUAGAGGUGAAAUUCGUAGAUAUUCGGAAGAACACCAGUGGCGAAGGCGACUCGCUGGACAAGUAUUGACG